CCAAUAUCAUCCACAACAGUAUUUGUGAGUUUAAUGAAAUGCUGAAGGACUAUAUUCUUUAGAGCAAUGGCCCUGAGAGAUUUGUAUUAUCAUCACCAAGAAUCACUUUUAGCCUAAGGAUUUUAGAAACAGAACCAAAAUUAUCCACUGCUUUGGGUUGGACUGGUAUCAUCUUUUUAAAGAGUACCUUGCAAUUCUGUACUUUAAGACUUUCCUUAUUCAUUGCAUUCUUUCAAUUUUUAUUUUCCUUUCUAUUUUUUUUCCUUUCUCUGAUUUACUUAUUCUCUCAUCUUUAAAUCUUUCUUUCCCUGAGCCUCAGCUGAUAGGAGUUUCAGGAAUCGGAGCUAUCUAUCAGUUGAACUCUUCACCGAUGACAACAGUAAUGACAAGAGCACCUGGAAGUCCUGUUCUCCAAGAGAUCAGGACACAAGCACACACAGAAAGAAGAUCAAGUGAAGACACAGGGAGGGGAAAAUGGCGCCUAUAAGCUGAGGAGAGGGGACGUAGAAGAAACAACCCUAAGGAUACCUUACUCUUGGACUUCUUGUCUCCAGAUUUGUGAUGACAUACAUUUUUGUUGUUUCAGGCACCUGAUUUGUGGUACUUUAUUAUAGCAUCCCUAGCAAACUAAUGAAAUUUCUAUUGCUAAACCUAUGGAUAUUUGCUUUGAAAUGUUGCAGCAGUUUGCAAACCUGAAGAUUUCCUACCUUCUUUAAAGUAACAACUAUAUACUGUUUAUGUUCUUAGAAUCUUGGUUCUUAAAAAUAACAGUGCAGUGUCAAAAGAAUGUUUUAUAUGUUCAUUUUCUCUGACACUAAAAAUCAUAUUUUAUUCUUGUUAGCAUACCAUAAAAAUUCACACACUGCUGAUAUUUAUAUUGAAAUUGCACUGAAUCUAUAGAAGAAACUGGGUAGAAUAAACAUCAUUAGAAUAUUGAUACUUCCUAUCAGUGAGAUUGUCUCCCUUUAUUUAGGUUUAUUUUAAUAUCUGCAUAUUAGUUUUACAAAUUUCCCCUUAAAGGGCUUUUGUAGGAUCUAUACAUAGAUAACUGUUGAUUCUCUGAACUACAUAUCUUGAAUUUUUUUGUCUGUCUCAGGUGUAUACAAUUGCAUUUGAUUUCUCUCGUCAGUUAUAGAUCCAACAAAAUUGUUUAAGUCUCUUUUCAUAAUUUUCCUAUGCUUUUUCUCCUAUACUUUUAUAUAGCCAAUUAUAGAAUGUGUUAAUAUAGCAGAUGCUAUUCCUUUUCAUUUUUAUAACAUUUACAUUCUUUUUUAUUUUAUUUAUUUUUUCAAGAUGGAAUCUUGCUCUGUCACCCAGGCUGGAGUGCAGUGGUGCGAUCUCAACUAACUGCAACCUCCGCCUCUUGGGUUCAAGCAGUUCUCCUGCCUCAGCCUCCUGAGUAGUUGGGAUUACAGGCAUGAACCACCACACCAGCUAAUUUUUGUAUUUUUAGUAGAGGUGGGGUUUUGCCAUGUUGGCCAGGCUGGUCUCAAACUCCUGACCUCACAUGACCUACCCACGUCGGCCUCCCAAAGUGUUGGUGUUACAGGCGUUAGCCGCCGCACCUGCCUUUUUUAUUUUCUUAAGUGCCUUAGUUAGAACCCCAACUAGAAUGUCAAAUAGAAAUGAUAAUGAUAAACAUCUUUGUUUUGUUACAUAUUAAAAAGGAAAUAUUUUUAAAGUUUCAUUAGUAAGCUUUUUAUUUCUUAAGAUAUAGGUUAUACCCUGUAGCAUGUUUUAAGAUUUUAACGUUUUCCCUAGUUUGAAAUCAGAAUUUUCUUCCAUGAUCUUUAAGUUUUCAAUUGACAUAUAAUUACUGUGUAUAUUUAUGGCAUACAGAGUUAUGUUUUGAUACAUACAAAGUACAGUGAUCAGAUCAGGGUAAUUAUUUUUUUUCUCUUCUUUUUUUUUUUUAGUAUACCCAUCAUCUCAAAUUUUUAUCAUUUGUGUGGAAACAUUUAAUAUCUUCUAGCUAUUUAAAGGUAUCUAUUACUGUCAACUACAGUCAUCCUAGGAUGCUAUAAAACACUAGAACUGGUGCCUUCAGGACCUUUUAUUCUUAUUGUAGAACUGAGGGGCAAGAGGUUUAAAGAGAUUACAUGAUUUGCCUGAGUUGAAACCACAAUUUCAAAAGGAUAUUUUCAAAUGCAAAUCAGCCAUUCAUUCUUGGGAUAAACUUCAAUUGGUCUUGAUGUUUUACCUUUUUCACUUAAUGUUGCAUUAUAUUAGCUAUUUUGUAAAAAUUUAUGAACUUAUGUAUAUAUAUACGAUUGGCCUAUCUACCAUAGAGAUGUCAUUUUCUCUUUUCAUUUUGUUUAUUAUAUUCUUCAAUGCAUUACUAGUUUAUAUUUUAUGAUUCAAAGUCUAUCAGUAUAUUCCUUUUUAAAAUCCAUUUGGAUAUAAUGCUUAUAAAAGCUCUCUGAAGUCCAGAAUUAUAAAUUCUACUUUUUUUUCCCAAAUACUUUGGUGGUUUUAUAUUUCUCCUUACCAUUUUUAUCUAUAUCAGGUCUGUAAUUUAGUCUUUGGUGAAACAAAAUUAAUGGAUAACCUCUUUAUUCCCACUGAAGCGCAAUCCAUAUGAUUAUUAACCCUUAUAUAUAGUCAUGUACUACAUAAUGACAUUUUGGUGAACGACAGACUGCAUAUACUACAGUGGUCCUAUAAGACUGUCAUAUCAUAUGUUUACUGUACAUUUUCUAUGUUUAGAUACACAGAUACUUGCCAUUGUGUUGCAAUUGCUUAUGGUAUUCAGUACAGUAACAUGCUGUACAGGUUUGUAGCUUUGGAGCAAUAGGCUAUAUCAUAUAGCCUUGGUGUGCACUAGGCUAUAUCAUCUAGGUUUGUGUAAGUACAGUCUAUGAUCUUCACACAACAAAACUGUCUGCCAACACAUUUCUCAGAAUGCUCUCCUGUUAUUAAGUUAUGCAUGACUGUGUAUACCUGGGUAUAUUAGUUACCUGUUACUGCAUAUAGCAAGUGAUGCAGAAGAAAGCGUGGCAAAAGCCAUAAUGUCUUUCAUGGCCUAACACCAGAAGCCACAUGGUCAUUUCAACAAUAUCCUAUUUUUCACGUGGUCAGCACUAUUCCAAGUGGGAGGAGAAGACACCAGAACAUGAACAAACACCAAGAGACAAGGAGCAUGUGGGGGCCAUCUUGAAGGCUGGCUGCCAUGUUGUAUUAUUAAUGACUAUCCAUUCUUUUCCAUUAAACUGAAUACCCAUUGUGAGUCCAAACAUACAGUAUUUUAUUACUUAAUAAGAUAAUUUCUCUCAAAUUAUUUCUUUGUUGCAUUAUUCAUUUACUUAGUCUUUUAGAUAAAUUUUAGAAUCAUUUUGUCAGUUGUAAAAACUUGGGAAGAAGUUCUUACAUAUAAAAUUCACAUAUUUUAAGUGGGUGAGGAUAUUUAUUGGC
rnacentral:lncRNA from 10 species